AGGGUUUGAUCAUGGCUCAGAACGUACGCUGGCGGCACGCCUAACACAUGCAAGUCGAACGAAGUAGCAAUACUUAGUGGCAGACGGGUGAGUAACAUGUAGGUAUCUGCCCUUUGGCCUGGAAUAACACGAGGAAACUUGUGCUAAUACCGGAUAAGUCUUUACGGAGAAAGCUUUAUGCACCAUUGGAUGAGCCUGCACUUGAUUAGUUUGUUGGUGGGGUAAUGGCCUACCAAGACUGUGAUCAAUAGCUGAUUUGAGAGGAUGAUCAGCCACAUUGGGACUGAGACACGGCCCAAACUCCUACGGGAGGCAGCAGUGGGGAAUCUUGCACAAUGGAGGAAACUCUGAUGCAGCGAUGCCGCGUGAGUGAAGAAGGCCUUUGGGUUGUAAAGCUCUUUCGUCGGGGAAGAAAAUGACUGUACCCGAAUAAGAAGGUCCGGCUAACUUCGUGCCAGCAGCCGCGGUAAUACGAAGGGACCUAGCGUAGUUCGGAAUUACUGGGCUUAAAGAGUUCGUAGGUGGUUGAAAAAGUUAGUGGUGAAAUCCCAGAGCUUAACUCUGGAACUGCCAUUAAAACUUUUCAGCUAGAGUAUGAUAGAGGAAAGCAGAAUUUCUAGUGUAGAGGUGAAAUUCGUAGAUAUUAGAAAGAAUACCAAUUGCGAAGGCAGCUUUCUGGAUCAUUACUGACACUGAGGAACGAAAGCAUGGGUAGCGAAGAGGAUUAGAUACCCUCGUAGUCCAUGCCGUAAACGAUGUGUGUUAGACGUUGGAAAUUUAUUUUCAGUGUCGCAGGGAAACCGAUAAACACACCGCCUGGGGAGUACGACCGCAAGGUUAAAACUCAAAUGAAUUGACGGGGACCCGCACAAGUAGUGGAGCAUGUGGUUUAAUUCGAAGAUACGCGCAGAACCUUACCAACACUUGACAUGUUCGUCGCGACUCUAAGAGAUUAGAGUUUUCGGUUCGGCCGGACGAAACACAGGUGCUGCAUGGCUGUCGUCAGCUCGUGUCGUGAGAUGUUGGGUUAAGUCCCGCAACGAGCGCAACCCUCACUUUUAGUUGCCAUCAUUAAGUUGGGCACUCUGAAAGAACUGCCAGUGAUAAGCUGGAGGAAGGUGGGGAUGACGUCAAGUCCUCAUGGCCCUUACGUGUUGGGCUACACACGUGCUACAAUGGUAUCUACAACAGGAAGCAAGACUGCGAAGUUAAGCAAAUCCCUAAAAGAUACCUCAGUUCGGAUUGCACUCUGCAACUCGAGUGCAUGAAGCUGGAAUUACUAGUAAUCGUGGAUCAGCGUGCCACGGUGAAUGCGUUCCCGGGUCUUGUACACACCGCCCGUCACACCAUGGGAGUUGGUUCUACCUUAAGGCAAGGUUUCAAACCCUUGACCACGGUAUAGUCAGCGACUGGGGUGAAGUCGUAACAAGGUAGCCGUA
rnacentral:rRNA from 1 species